CCUACGGGAGGCAGCAGUGGGGAAUAUUGCACAAUGGGCGAAAGCCUGAUGCAGCGACGCCGCGUGAGGGAUGACGGCCUUCGGGUUGUAAACCUCUUUCAGCAGGGAAGAAGCGAAAGUGACGGUACCUGCAGAAGAAGCGCCGGCUAACUACGUGCCAGCAGCCGCGGUAAUACGUAGGGCGCAAGCGUUGUCCGGAAUUAUUGGGCGUAAAGAGCUCGUAGGCGGCUUGUUGCGUCGGUUGUGAAAGCCCGGGGCUUAACCCCGGGUCUGCAGUCGAUACGGGCAGGCUAGAGUGUGGUAGGGGAGAUCGGAAUUCCUGGUGUAGCGGUGAAAUGCGCAGAUAUCAGGAGGAACACCGGUGGCGAAGGCGGAUCUCUGGGCCAUUACUGACGCUGAGGAGCGAAAGCGUGGGGAGCGAACAGGAUUAGAUACCCUGGUAGUCCACGCCGUAAACGUUGGGAACUAGGUGUUGGCGACAUUCCACGUCGUCGGUGCCGCAGCUAACGCAUUAAGUUCCCCGCCUGGGGAGUACGGCCGCAAGGCAAACCGUCAAAUGAAUUGACGG
rnacentral:rRNA from 1 species